GUAGGUGGCAAGCGUUAUCCGGAUUUAUUGGGCGUAAAGCGAGCGCAGGCGGUCUUUUAAGUCUAAUGUGAAAGCCUUCGGCUCAACCGAAGAAGUGCAUUGGAAACUGGGAGACUUGAGUGCAGAAGAGGACAGUGGAACUCCAUGUGUAGCGGUGAAAUGCGUAGAUAUAUGGAAGAACACCAGUGGCGAAGGCGGCUGUCUGGUCUGUAACUGACGCUGAGGCUCGAAAGCAUGGGUAGCGAACAGGAUUAGAUACCCUGGUAGUCCAUGCCGUAAACGAUGAUUACUAAGUGUUGGAGGGUUUCCGCCCUUCAGUGCUGCAGCUAACGCAUUAAGUAAUCCGCCUGGGGAGUACGACCGCAAGGUUG
rnacentral:rRNA from 1 species